rnacentral:rRNA from 1 species
AGUGAACGCUGGCGGCGUGCCUAAUACAUGCAAGUCGAACGAACGAAUAAGAGCUUGCUCUUAUAAGUUAGUGGCGCACGGGUGAGUAAUAUAUAGCUAAUCUGCCUCUUAGUAGAGGAUAACAGUCGGAAACGAUUGCUAAUACUCUAUACUUCUGCUUUACAUAAGUAAAGUAGAGAAAGUUUUUCGCUAAGAGAUGAGGCUAUACUGUAUCAGCUAGUUGGUAAGGUAACGGCUUACCAAGGCUAUGACGCAUAACUGGUCUGAGAGGAUGAUCAGUCACAUUGGAACUGAGACACGGUCCAAACUCCUACGGAAGGCAGCAGUAGGGAAUAUUGCGCAAUGGGGGAAACCCUGACGCAGCAACGCCGCGUGGAGGAUGACACUUUUCGGAGCGUAAACUCCUUUUAUCGGGAAAGAAUAAUGACGGUACCAGAUGAAUAAGCACCGGCUAACUCCGUG